AUUGAACGCUGGCGGCAGGCCUAACACAUGCAAGUCGAGCGGAUGAAGGGAGCUUGCUCCUGGAUUCAGCGGCGGACGGGUGAGUAAUGCCUAGGAAUCUGCCUGGUAGUGGGGGAUAACGUCCGGAAACGGGCGCUAAUACCGCAUACGUCCUGAGGAGAAAGUGGGGGAUCUUCGGACCUCACGCUAUCAGAUGAGCCUAGGUCGGAUUAGCUAGUUGGUGGGGUAAAGGCCUACCAAGGCGACGAUCCGUAACUGGUCUGAGAGGAUGAUCAGUCACACUGGAACUGAGACACGGUCCAGACUCCUACGGGAGGCAGCAGUGGGGAAUAUUGGACAAUGGGCGAAAGCCUGAUCCAGCCAUGCCGCGUGUGUGAAGAAGGUCUUCGGAUUGUAAAGCACUUUAAGUUGGGAGGAAGGGCAGUAAGUUAAUACCUUGCUGUUUUGACGUUACCAACAGAAUAAGCACCGGCUAACUUCGUG
rnacentral:rRNA from 1 species